rnacentral:rRNA from 1 species
AGAACGAACGCUGGCGGCAUGCCUAAUACAUGCAAGUCGAACGAACACUUCGGUGUUAGUGGCGCACGGGUGCGUAACGCGUGGGAAUCUGCCCUUGGGUUCGGAAUAACAGUUGGAAACGACUGCUAAUACCGGAUGAUAUCGAAAGAUCAAAGAUUUAUCGCCCAGGGAUGAGCCCGCGUAGGAUUAGCUAGUUGGUGAGGUAAAGGCUCACCAAGGCGACGAUCCUUAGCUGGUCUGAGAGGAUGAUCAGCCACACUGGGACUGAGACACGGCCCAGACUCCUACGGGAGGCAGCAGUAGGGAAUAUUGGACAAUGGGCGCAAGCCUGAUCCAGCAAUGCCGCGUGAGUGAUGAAGGCCUUAGGGUUAGUAAAGCUCUUUUACCCGAGAUGAUAAUGAACAGUAUCGGAAGAAAUAACGCCCCGGCUAAACCUCCGUGCCAGUACGACGCCGUAACGUACGUUCGAGGACGGCGGUCGCGGACGAACGGCGACUA